UGUAAGUUCAGUGUAAAUUGACCCAUAGCCUUGUUGUAUAAGCUCACCACAUGCAGCCCAUCGGAAAAAGAAUGAGACAAUUUGGGACAACGUAGGCCAAGUUAUGGACAGGCAGCUUAAAGCAGACCUAUGGGGCAUCAAAACGGAAAAUGAAAGUAACUCCCCACUGCCCCCAUGGGUCUGCUUUAAGCUGCCUGUCCAUAACUUGGCCUAUGUUGUCCCAAAUUUGGACUAUGUUGUCACU